rnacentral:rRNA from 1 species
UGCGUAGGGACCAAGCGUUGUUCGGAUUUACUGGGCGUAAAGGGCGCGUAGGCGGCAUGACAAGUCACUUGUGAAAUCUUCGGGCUUAACCCGGAACGGCCAAGUGAUACUGUCAUGCUAGAGUGCAGAAGGGGCAAUCGGAAUUCUCGGUGUAGCGGUGAAAUGCGUAGAUAUCGAGAGGAACACCUGCGGCGAAGGCGGGUUGCUGGGCUGACACUGACGCUGAAGCGCGAAAGCUAGGGGAGCGAACGGG